GCUUCGAGAGAGGUGAUAUGUAGGGAACUCCAAGAAAGUGUUGAAGGUACAGACAAUGAGGUGACGCAUGGCAGAGGCAGUUCACCAGAGCCAGGUUGGAAACUGUAAACUUACAGAUUCUCGUUGAAAUGUAUUUUUUUCUAGUAGCUCUCUGGAAACCGGGUAUGAAAACAGAAGAAGUAGUCACAUGGUUUGAUUUAUGAAUAAGAUUUUACCAGAAAGAUGCAGAAGAAAAACUAAAAAGCAAGAGAGUUGUCAAAGACUGUUAUAAAUUAAAUACCAGUAUGAGGUCUGUAUGGUUUUGAGAAAUGAGAGAAAGAAGAACCAAGAGGAACUGAAGAUCAAAAAAACUGAAGAACAGGUGUAAGAACUUGAAGCCCUUUAGUCAAGGUGUGCCCUGAGAGAACUACAAGAGUCAUAACAUAAAAUCCCCAGGAAAAGUGACCUGAGCUCAGCCUCAACUCUGUCUACCACGCAGAAACAACUGGGAGAAAGAAUGCCAUACAGAAGGAAUGCAUAGCAUCCCAUAGGAUAGACUGAGGCUUUCAGGUAUGACCCACAGUUUCCAACAUGACAACAGGAGAGGGAGGCAAUCAAGAGUACAUGAUAGGAAAACAUACUAGCUUCCCAUUGACUGGGGGUAAAACUUCCCGAGAACAAGAAGACUGACCUGAUUCAACUCAAAUCAACAGAAGCAGCACUAAGAUGGGCUCUGGAAUCUAAACCACUCUGGGGAGAAAUCUCAGGACCGAUCCAUACUUUAGGGUCUGGAUCCACGUGACACACACUAGCUCCACAUUGGUCUCUUGAUUGUUAGCUGAUAUCUAACUUCCUGCCUUGUUAGCCUGCCCAUUCUCCAAGCUUGGAAACCUCUGUGCCUUAUCCUUGCCAUCCUGCCAGUGUCAUCAGCAUAAAUAAUCUAGAUCAAGAAGUGGUAAACUUUUUCUGUUAAGGACCUGAAAGUAAAUAUUUUAGGUUUUGCCAGUCAUGUGGACUCUGUCAAGACUACUCAACUCUAACUCUAUAGAGCAGAAGCAGCCAGAAAUGACAUGUAAACAAAUGAACAUGGCUAUGUUCAAAUAAAACUUAUGUACAAAGACAGCUAGCAGCUGAGGGCUGCUGACCUGAGGGCUGUAGUUGGCAAACUUGAUCGCAAUGGAGUGUUAUCAAUUUCUUCUGUGGAAUUUCAUGGGCUCCUUCUAUUAGAGAGGAGAUUUUAAUUAGAUACUUUCUCUUUUAUCUGUUUUAUAUUUAGGACUCUAAUCAUUCCGUCCUGUAUUCAGUCCAUCAAGGCUGCUAUAACAAAAUUUCAUAAAUUGGGUGGCUUAAACAACAGAAAUUUACUUCUUCUAGAACUAGGGACUGGGAAGGAUCUAGGUCAUGGCAGAUUUUGUGUCUGGUGAGGAUCCACUUUCUACUUUACUACAUCCUCACAUGGUGGAAAAAUUAUAGUUUCUUCAGCCCUUGUAAGGGCACUAAUCCCAUUUAUGAGGGUCCCACCCUGAUGACCAAAUCACUUCCCAAGAAUUCCGCCUCCUUAUAGUAUCACACUGACGAUUAGGGUUCAACAUAAAUCUUGGGGAGACAAAAAUAUUCAGACCACAGCAGACUCCAAGUAAAAAUUUUGAUGUAAAGGGGGUUCUACUGCUUUAAAAUAAAAGGUUUGAAAACUACUAGUAUAGAUCAGUUCUAAGAAAUACACAAACUGAGAUCUGAAAAAAAUUAAUUUGCCCUCAGUUGUAGAAUUGCAGUUAGAAACUGCAGCUAGAAACCAUAAUGUUAAUGAUUAAACAAAAUGUGGGGCCUUUCUAAGCAUGGGAAACUUGUACAACUACACAAAUUACACAGCCAUAAAGUCAUUUCUAGAGGGAGGAUUGCUCUCUGUAAAGUCUCAAGAGGCACCGAGUGAUUUGAAUUUCUUAAUAAUUUUAUUAACAAGGGGCUCUGAAUUUUCAUUUUGCACUGGGCCUUGCAAAUGAUAUAGCUGAUCCUGCUCUUUACCCCCACAUAAAUAUGCAAUGCCUUUGUGCAGUAAAUAAGACCCCAUAAAUGUCAAGAGAGGUGAGAUCACCCCGACUUAAUUAUUUUAAGAAACAGCUCAUAGUCCUUACCAUCAACUUAUAACUGUGCUGUAACUGCCUAGAGCUUUUGGUUUAUUUAUGAGUUACACAAACAUUUGAGUUUGAUGGCCCAAAGCAAAAUUUGCAGCCAGCCAAGCUGGCCUUUGAAGUUUGCUUUCCUUCCUUUGGGAUGAGCUUCAUGACCCCUAUUUCUGCCUGAAUCCCCUCCCAAGCCCGUCUCUACCUGGGGUUCACUGCCCUCAUGCUCUCCAUAUUAUUUUUUUGCUACAUGAUUCUCUCCCUCAGAUUGGUACAUAUCCCUUGUGUGGCAACUCUCCCUCAGUACCAGAUUUUUUAGCUUCCAAGGUCAGAGUAAGUAAACUUAUUUGUGGAAAUGGGGUUUAGCCACCAACAUGUCUCCUUAACAAUAGUACUUUGAUUUUCUUCAGACAGCCACCUCUUCCACAUGGCCAUAUAAUUCAGAGGCGGAUAGCCCCAUCCCUAAGCCCAAGACUAGGUCCUUAUUGGUCUAAGCCAAUUAUGAAGACAUUAUUCUCCUUUCUGUGACUGCUUUGAGAAGAUGUGUGACAUAGUCCAAGCCUAAGAAUGCAGGUGGUGGAAUGGGAUAAGCAGAGGUGGAAUGGCAUCUGGGCAGUGUUGCCUUGCUCUUAAAGAUAUAAGAAAAUGAUGCCCUCUUGUUUUUCCUCAAUAUGUGUGUUAUUAUUCCUCAAAAACCAAAAUACUCGAGAAAUCUCAUAUUUAUACAGAAAGUGGAUUUACCUUAGCCAAAGCCUAUUUUCAUGUGGAUUUCAAUGACCUAAAUAAUAAAAACUUUGCAGACACAAAAAAGUGUCAAAUUCUUCAGAACUCUAAGGACUGUAUUUAUAAAUUUCACAAAUUGUUCCAAUGCUUUUUAAAUGUCUAGAUUCACAGGUUGUUUUAAAACUUUACUAGUCUAUAAAAUUAAAUCUUGCAUUAAAACACAAUUUCCCAAUUAAAAAAUGGGCAAAAGUCCUGAACGGACUUCUCACCAAAGAUGAUAAAGACAGAUGGCAAAUAAGCACAUGAAAAGAUGCUCCACAUCACAUAUCAUUAGAGAAAUUCAAAUUAAAAAAUGAGAUACCACUACACAACUAUUAGAAUGGCCAAAAUCCAGAACAUUGAUAAUGAUGCUGGAGAAGAUGUGGUACAAUAGGAACUUUCAUUGCUGGUGAGAAUGCAGAAUUGUACAGUCAUUUUGGAAGAGUUUGGCAGUUUCUUACACAUACUCUUAUCACAUAAUCCAGCAGUCACACUCAAUAGUAUUUACCCAAAGGAGUUGAAAAUUUAUGUCCACAAAAAUCUUGCACACAGGUGUUUAUGGCGCUGUCAAAACUUGGAAGCAACCAAGAUGCCCUUCGAUAGAUUCUAGGGAUUGAAUUGUUUCUACUCCUCUCUCCAAAUUCACAUAUUAAAGCCCUAAUCCCAAAUGUGACUGUAUUUGGAGAUUGAGCCUUUAGGAGGUAACUAAGGUUAAAUGAGGUCCAACACAACUGUUGGCUUUAUAAGAAGAAGAGAUCUCUCCCUGGCCACUCCACAUGAACUCAGAGAAAAGGCCAGUGAGGAUGCAGUGAGAAGGUGGUUAUCUGCAAGCUAAGAAGAAAGUCCUCACCAGAGGCCGGGCUCAGUGGCUCACGCCUGUAAUCCCAGCACUUUGGGAGGCCGAGGUGGGCGGAUCAUGAGGUCAGG